rnacentral:rRNA from 1 species
GUGUCAGCCGCCGCGGUAAUACAGAGGGUGCAAGCGUUAAUCGGAAUUACUGGGCGUAAAGGGUGCGUAGGUGGCUUAAUAAGUUAGGUGUGAAAGUCCUGGGCUUAACCUGGGGAUUGCGCCUAAUACUGUUAAGCUAGAGUACUGUAGAGGAAGGUGGAAUUUCCGGUGUAGCGGUGAAAUGCGUAGAUAUCGGAAGGAACAUCAGUGGCGAAGGCGACUUUCUGGACAGAUACUGACACUGAGGCACGAAAGCGUGGGGAGCAAACAGGAUUAGAAACCCUCGUAGUCC